UCCUCCUGGCAAUGGGCAAAUGGACGUCUUUUUGGUGUGGUGUUGUUUUUAUAUGAGGCAGGGGCAGAGAAGAUGGAAGUCCUUUGUUCACUCCAGUUUGGUGACUGGUUUGGUGGCCCAAGCUGUUUUAUGCCUAGGACACAUAA